rnacentral:misc_RNA from 1 species
CCUUCGGUUCGGUCAGCAAUCUUAAGUUCUACCUAUUUCGACAUAUUUUCUUUACGAGUGCAAAUUUUCUUUUUCAAAAUCAAAAAUGUGUUGAUAUAACUUGAAUUCAUGUGCCGAUUACGCUGAACGAUCUUACGGUAGUGAUACUUGGGCAUGUGCCUUUUCUACAACAGGUAUUAUUCAACGAUUUAUUAUUCAUAGAAAAGACAAUCGAAGUGGAAACAGUUUUAAUAGAGCUAUGAGACUCUGCACCAAUGGGAUCGAUGAUGCGGCAGUACUCGCUGCUGCUACUCAUCCUAGCAUAUCCGACGAUGUCGUGGUCCGGCUGCCGAGAGGCCCAGUUACCUCGAGAUUGCGAGACUCUCUGCAACUUCGAUCAGCAGGGCCAGGUGAUAAACUGCGAGCUCAGAGCCGCCGUAUUACUGCCGGCCGAUUCUCGAUACGAAAUUUCCCUCUUCAAAGUCUUGCCCGUGCUGGAUAUGGCCGUUUACGCGGCGAGGUCGUUAAAAUUACUUCCUCAUUGGCUGAAGCUGACUUUUCUCGCGCAAGACGAUGGCUGCGACGCGACUUACGCACAAAUCGGCGCUAUCGAUAGCUACUCCAAGUGCGUGCACGUGUUUUUUGGCCCAACGUGCGAUUACUGCGUUGCGAGCGUGGGAAGAAUUACAAAGUUUUUGAACGCCCCUCUGAUAACGACCGGAGGAUUCACCUUCGAUUUUACGAAAAAAAAGAAAACUUGCCAGGAUGAAUAUUUUAUGACGAUUCGUAUGGGAAAUUUGGCAUUUCGAGACAUUGCCUUGUUUCUCAUAGACAUUUUGGAUGAGUACGCGUGGAAGAAGAUUCACCUAUUGUACGACACCAACGGUCAAGCCAAAGUCGCUGGACGACACACGUGCCAAUUGAUGAUGAAGUCAAUAGUCGAGUACAUAAAAAAGAGACGUGAUCUUGAAUACGGAACCUUCGAUCUCGAUGCGACCAAAAUUAGCGAGUAUCCACAAAUUUUAAAGGAACAUGUUGGGACAUCUUAUGCUGUCGUCGUGAUGUGCGCCAACUCGACGACCAUCCGUGAGAUUCUCCUGGCCGCAGAGGAGCUGGGCAUGGUCGACUCCGGCGAGUACGUGUUCUUCUCCAUCGAGCUGACGACCAGCGACAACAACACAAAGGAGCCGUGGCGCGUGGAGGGCGACACCGAGGCCAGAAACGAGAAGGCCCGCAAGGCGUACCAGGCGCUGCUGACCGUGACGACUCGCACCCCGGACAACCAGGAGUACCACAACUUUUCGCGCGACGUCAAGCAGCUGGCCCAGGAGCGCUACAACUUCACCUUCGGCAACAGCUCGGUGUCGACCUUCGUCACGGCCUUCUACGACGCGGUGCUGCUCUACGCCCUGGCGCUGCGCGAGAGCCUGCCCGACAAGCCCGCCGAGGUCAAUCUCGACGGCAGCAACCUCACCAGGCGCAUGUGGGGACGUAGCUUUAAGGGUAUAACCGGCGAUGUCAAUAUUGACGAGAACGGUGAUCGUAUAGCCGAUUACUCUCUGCUCGACAUGAAUCCCAAAACUUCCAAGUUUGAGAUUGUUGCAAACUACUACGGAGCUAACAAGACACUGGAGUACAUACCGGGUAAAAGGAUACACUGGUCGGGCGAUCGGCUCGAGCCACCACCGGAUACGCCGACCUGCGGUUUCGACGGAUCGCUUUGCCCGGAUAAUUCACUGCCGGGCUACGCCAUACUCUCCAUUGUACUCAGCUCGAUCGUCGUCUUUCUCGUCGUUGCCGCGGUCUUCAUACACAGGCACUACAAACUGGAAGCGGAAAUAGCCUCAAUGACGUGGAAGGUGCACUGGGAGGACGUCAUUGUGAUACCGAACGGCAGGCUCAAAGCCGGAUCCACGUACUCUUUGGCGCCCAACAAACAGCGAGGCAGUCAACUGAGCAUAUAUUCCGAGGAUAACGUGAGUCUUCACGGCGGAGUGGACAGACGCUCCUUCAUACCUACGGGCUUCUACAAAAAUAUGAAAGUAGCCAUUAAGCCGAUUCCUGGAAAUAAAGUAGAUUUAUCAAGGCCCCUGCUACUCGAGCUUAAGAGGAUGAAGGACCUGCAACACGAUCAUUUGGUGAAAUUUUAUGGAGCUUGUGUUGACUUUCCUCAUUGUUGUCUGCUUACCGAAUAUUGUCCCAGGGGCUCGCUUCAGGACAUAUUGGAAAACGGGCAGAUGAAGCUCGACCGAGUGUUCCGUGGCUCAUUGAUCCACGAUAUAGUGCGCGGUAUGGGCUACCUGCAUGCCUCGGAGAUCCGUAGCCACGGCAAUCUCAAAUCGACCAAUUGCCUCGUGGAUUCGAGAUUCGUCCUCAAAAUAGCGGACUUUGGACUGCACGAGCUGAGAAUGCCGCAUUAUCUCGACCCCGAGGAGGAUCGCGAUAGCUACGCUUACUGGAGGAAGCAAUUGUGGACGGCGCCGGAACUGCUGCGAAUGGAGCGUCGCCCGGCCGAGGGCACCCAGAAGGCCGAUGUCUACAGCUUCGCCAUAAUCGUGCACGAGAUCGAGAUGCGCCAGGGUCCGUUUUACCUCGGCCCAGGGAAUCAUCUUACCCCCCAGGAAAUCGUCGAUGGAGUACGAAGGGGUGGUGGAUCUCCGCUAAGACCUUUCGUCGAUGAUACUUCCGUCGACGAAGAGGUUGCUUCGCUGAUAGACCGAUGUUGGGGCGAGGAUCCAGCAGGACGACCCGAUUUCGCGGGACUCAAAGAGAUCGUCCGUAAAAUCAACAAAGACAGCCGAAUUAACAAUCUCUUGGACAAUCUACUGUCGCGUAUGGAGCACUACGCGGAUAAUUUGGAGAAUCUCGUGGCCGAAAGGACCGCCGACUAUCUCGAGGAGAAGCGCAAAUGCGAGGAACUUCUCUACCAGUUGCUGCCAAAAUCCGUCGCGUCUCAGCUAAUACUCGGCAAGAGCGUGAUCGCCGAGACCUACGACCAGGUAACAAUUUAUUUCAGCGACAUCGUCGGUUUUACGAGCCUCUCGGCCGAAAGUACGCCACUUCAAGUCGUCGAUCUUCUCAACGACCUCUACACGUGCUUCGAUUCGAUUAUUGAAAAUUUCGACGUUUAUAAGGUGGAGACGAUCGGAGACGCUUAUAUGGUCGUCUCGGGCCUGCCAGUGAGGAACGGCAUGAACCACGCACGAGAGAUUGCGCGGAUGAGCCUUGCUCUCCGUGACACAGUCAUGACUUUCAAAAUUCGCCACAGGCCUAGCGAGCAGCUGAAACUGCGAAUUGGCAUGCAUAGCGGUCCCUGUGUAGCAGGCGUCGUAGGCCUAAAAAUGCCAAGGUACUGCCUGUUCGGUGACACGGUAAACACGGCCUCGAGGAUGGAGAGCAACGGAGAGGCUUUAAAAAUACAUGUAAGUCCGAAAACAAAGGAAAUACUCGAUACUUUUGGAACUUUCGAUUUAAUCUGCAGAGGAGAAGUCGCAUUAAAGGGCAAAGGCACGAUGAUAACUUAUUGGCUAAACGGCGAAAAAGUCGCGCCAGAAAUGGAUAAUAACAAUACGUCGACGACUACGACGACGGCGUCGCAGCAGCAGGUCUUGCGCAGCGCGCAGGUACCUGCGAUAUCGACCCCUAGGCACACUCUCUACGCGGAUCAGCAUCGUAACGGUGCACCUCCGGCUCUGUCGCCGUCGCAUCGCAACACGAACAAUCAACAACAGCAGCCACAGCAGCAGCAGCAGCAAGUUACGGCCGGCGAGAGCAUGCCGAAUCACAGUUCCGAUGGUGGAGCGAGUGCGCCACUACUGCUGUCCGUGGCUUCCGUUCCAUGAACUGUUUAACGAAUGAUGAUUAUUAUGCAUUUAAGACGACGACGAGUGCAUGCUGUGUUUGCGCGACUAUCGUGUGGUGCCGAUAUUAUAGAUUUACGGAGCUACGAGCUAAUGAAAAAACAGAAUCUCUUUAAAAAACUGCAUUUGCGAAGAUCCAGUCGAGAUAAGAAUUGACACGA